rnacentral:pre_miRNA from 1 species
CAACCUCCACAGGCUGACUGGCCCCCAGGCUGGACGAGUAUUCCUCCAAAAGGCUCACCCUCAAGCAUGAUUAGAAGU